UACGUAGGGGGCUAGCGUUGUCCGGAAUCAUUGGGCGUAAAGAGCUCGUAGGCGGUUUGUUGCGUCGGCUGUGAAAUCCCGAGGCUCAACCUCGGGUCUGCAGUCGAUACGAGCAAACUAGAGUGUUGCAGGGGAGACUGGAAUUCCUGGUGUAGCGGUGAAAUGCGCAGAUAUCAGGAGGAACACCGGUGGCGAAGGCGGGUCUCUGGGCAACAACUGACGCUGAGGAGCGAAAGCGUGGGGAGCGAACAGG
rnacentral:rRNA from 1 species